rnacentral:rRNA from 1 species
AUUGAACGCUGGCGGCAGGCCUAACACAUGCAAGUCGAGCGAGUGGCGGACGGGUGAGUAAUGUCUGGGAAACUGCCUGAUGGAGGGGGAUAACUACUGGAAACGGUAGCUAAUACCGCAUACUAUCAGAUGUGCCCAGUUGGGAUUAGCUAGUUGGUGGGGUAAUGGCCUACCUAGGCGACGAUCCGUAACUGGUCUGAGAGGAUGACCAGCCACACUGGAACUGAGACACGGUCCAGACUCCUACGGGAGGCAGCAGUGGGGAAUAUUGGACAAUGGGCGCAAGCCUGAUCCAGCCAUGCCGCGUGUGUGAAGAAGGUCUUCGGGUUGUAAAGCACUUUAAGUUGGGAGGCGUUACCAACAGAAGAAGCACCGGCUAACUUCGUGCCAGCCGCCGCGGUAAUUC